rnacentral:lncRNA from 1 species
GCUCGCGCGCAGAACGCGGCGGUCAGCUGCGCCCGGCCUGAAGUUGUCCCAACCGCGGCCGCGUCGGUCGCCCUUUUGACUUGCAGCAGGGCGGGCAGAGCGACUUAGAGGAAAAGUGACUUUUUGUACCCUCCUGCAGGGAGCAGGUUCUCUGUCCUUGUUUAAUUAGACAUUUCUCAGAGAAUCCUGCCUCUGCUCUGAAGCCUUUCUGUUCGCUCCAGUGAAAAUUAGUCAUCCACCGGGCGCGGUGGCUCACGCCUGCAAUCCCAGCACUUUGGGAGGCCGAGGUCUGGGCUUGAUGUUCACCGAUUUUCCCUCAGCUCCGACUGUGGCUCCUCUCAGCUGACUCUGACCCUGCUCUCAGCCGGGCUGCAUCUGCCCAUCUCAGCACAUCAAUAAACAGCAGAGGGAAACUACCACCUUGGAAGGAGCCAGGCAGUUUCUGCUGGGUAGGCCGCAGCCUGGAACAUGGAAGUAGCUUCUUCCAUCCUACACUGGAAACCACCCAGCAUCCCGGGCCCUCCAGAGAAGAGCCAGACUCCCUUCCCUGGGAAGAGACUAUAGUCCUAUCUAGCUUUUCCUUACUUCAGUAUUGCAUGAUAAUUCUCAAGCCUGUUCUUUACAUAAAUACAAAAAGGAGAAAGUGAAAUAGUAGAGGAACCGACCGAUUUGAAGGAGCUGCCACUAUUUGAUUCCUCCUGUUAGGACAUCUGAAUGACCCCAAGUUCCUGUUCUUGAGGCUGUUGUAUCAUAUUCUUAAAAGCUAUGCAUGCAUUCUGCUUUGAAUGUGUCCCUCAGCCUCAUUCUUCUCCACUUGCUGGGGGCCAUCCCGCCCCACGGGAAGGUAAGUUCAGGCUCAGAAGGAAAGACACGACAAAAAAAUCUUGCUUUUAUUUUUGUUGUCUAAAAUCAUGUUUCAUGCUCUUCUUUGAAUAAAAUCCAGGACUCCAGA